GAGUCCGGCAGGGUGCGAAGCGACGCCGCGCGCUGGGGUCAUUGCGCAUGCGCGCGGGGGCCCGUGAGCCCUUGCGAGCAGCCGCACCCGGGACCCCAGGACCCCGGCCGGCGGUGAGGCACUUUCGCUCCGCAUGGAAUGGAAACGCACCCAUUCGCUGCGAUUUGACACUCGCGUUGAAGGGAAGACCUUGGUUUUCCUUCCUCUCUCCUAAACCGCCAGCAUACGUAAUUAAUGUUUCCUGGAACAAUCCACUGUGGAGGAACCAGUGCCCCACCAAGUGAGCUUUGCCCUCCCAUACAAGAACACUUUAAGAAGCUACCAACUCCUUCACCUUUACUGCAACAUAAUGGGUGAAUCCUCUGUUCCAGGAACUUGGUGUUGAUAUUGACAUCUUGCUGACUUCAGUGUAUACUUAGGAAUGAGGCUGGGAUGGCGGGUGCCAGCGCUAGUCAUGAAACCACCUUGAAGACAUAACGGCACAGCAUGUACCAGAUUCCACCCAGAUCCUGUAUUUUCCUAUUAAACCCUCAGCCUUUUACCACAGUUCCAGAGCACAGAGGUUGGUUUAUGACAACAGUCUAAUGGUUCUCAACCUUGAAUGCGUAUUGGAAUCAUCUGGAGAACUUUAAAAAAU